GAUGAACGCUAGCGGCAGGCCUAACACAUGCAAGUCGAGGGGUAGUGGAGCUUGCUCCAUGAGACCGGCGCACGGGUGCGUAACGCGUAUGCAACCUACCUUGAUCUGGGGGAUAGCCCGAAGAAAUUCGGAUUAACACCGCAUAAAAUCACAGUACCGCAUGGUACAAUGAUCAAAUAUUUAUAGGAUUGAGAUGGGCA
rnacentral:rRNA from 1 species